GACGUAGGGCGCAAGCGUUGUCCGGAAUUAUUGGGCGUAAAGAGCUCGUAGGCGGCUUGUCACGUCGAUUGUGAAAGCCCGAGGCUUAACCUCGGGUCUGCAGUCGAUACGGGCUAGCUAGAGUGUGGUAGGGGAGAUCGGAAUUCCUGGUGUAGCGGUGAAAUGCGCAGAUAUCAGGAGGAACACCGGUGGCGAAGGCGGAUCUCUGGGCCAUUACUGACGCUGAGGAGCGAAAGCGUGGGGAGCGAACAGG
rnacentral:rRNA from 1 species